GCAAGUCGAGGGGCAGCGGGAUUGAAGCUUGCUUCAAUUGCCGGCGACCGGCGCACGGGUGAGUAACACGUAUCCAACCUUCCGUUUACUCGGGGAUAGCCUUUCGAAAGAAAGAUUAAUACCCGAUAGUAUGGUGAGAUUGCAUGAUAACACCAUUAAAGAUUCAUCGGUAAACGAUGGGGAUGCGUUCCAUUAGGUAGUAGGCGGGGUAACGGCCCACCUAGCCUGCGAUGGAUAGGGGUUCUGGGAGGAAGGUCCCCCACAUUGGAACUGAGACACGGUCCAAACUCCUACGGGAGGCAGCAGUGAGGAAUAUUGGUCAAUGGGCGAGAGCCUGAACCAGCCAAGUAGCGUGAAGGAUGAAGGUCCUACGGAUUGUAAACUUCUUUUAUAAGGGAAUAAAACGCUCCACGUGUGGAGCCUUGUAUGUACCUUAUGAAUAAGCAUCGGCUAACUCCGUGCCAGCAGCCGCGGUAAUACGGAGGAUGCGAGCGUUAUCCGGAUUUAUUGGGUUUAAAGGGAGCGCAGACGGGAUGUUAAGUCAGCUGUGAAAGUUUGCGGCUCAACCGUAAAAUUGCAGUUGAUACUGGAUAUCUUGAGUGCAGUUGAGGCAGGCGGAAUUCGUGGUGUAGCGGUGAAAUGCUUAGAUAUCACGAAGAACUCCGAUUGCGAAGGCAGCCUGCUAAGCUGCAACUGACAUUGAGGCUCG
rnacentral:rRNA from 1 species